CUCUUGUUGAUUGUGUCCAAUAUAAGCAUUUGAUAAGAGAAAAUAAAUGAGUUGUAUACUAUUAUGUAUUAAAAACCUGGCUACACAUUGGUUGUUGAAAACUAAGGUUUUUUAAAUAUAUUAUUAAUUCUGUAAAAUUUUAUCCAGCAGCCUAUGUUACAAUAUGAAAAUAUUGAAUUUACAAAUGACAAAAAGGCACAUCAGUACAGAUAAACGGACGGACGAAUUCACCAACUUAAUAUAGCAGUUAUCAAAAUAAGAUGAUAUUUGAUCGACACCGCAAAGUCAACUUAAGACGACUGGUAUAUGCUUCGAGAAGCGCAAGCUUUAUUUAAAAAAAAUUAUAAAUAAUGUUUAUUUUCUGAAUGAG